rnacentral:rRNA from 1 species
UUAAGGGCGCACGGUGGAUGCCUUGGCACUAGAAGCCGAUGAAGGACGUUACUAACGACGAUAUGCUUUGGGGAGCUGUAAGUAAGCUUUGAUCCAGAGAUUUCCGAAUGGGGAAACCCAGCAUGAGUUAUGUCAUGUUAUCGAUAUGUGAAUACAUAGCAUAUCAGAAGGCACACCCGGAGAACUGAAACAUCUUAGUACCCGGAGGAAGAAAAAGAAAAUUCGAUUCCCUUAGUAGCGGCGAGCGAAAUGGGAAGAGCCCAAACCAACAAGCUUGCUUGUUGGGGUUGUAGGACACUCUAUACGGAGUUACAAAGGACGACAUUAGACGAAUCAUCUGGAAAGAUGAAUCAAAGAAGGUAAUAAUCCUGUAGUCGAAAAUGUUGUCUCUCUUGAGUGGAUCCUGAGUACGACGGAGCACGUGAAAUUCCGUCGGAAUCUGGGAGGACCAUCUCCUAAGGCUAAAUACUCUCUAGUGACCGAUAGUGAACCAGUACCGUGAGGGAAAGGUGAAAAGCACCCCGGAAGGGGAGUGAAAUAGAACCUGAAACCGUGUGCUUACAAGUAGUCAGAGCCCGUUAAUGGGUGAUGGCGUGCCUUUUGUAGAAUGAACCGGCGAGUUACGAUUUGAUGCAAGGUUAAGCAGUAAAUGUGGAGCCGUAGCGAAAGCGAGUCUGAAUAGGGCGUUUAGUAUUUGGUCGUAGACCCGAAACCAGGUGAUCUACCCUUGGUCAGGUUGAAGUUCAGGUAACACUGAAUGGAGGACCGAACCGACUUACGUUGAAAAGUGAGCGGAUGAACUGAGGGUAGCGGAGAAAUUCCAAUCGAACCUGGAGAUAGCUGGUUCUCUCCGAAAUAGCUUUAGGGCUAGCCUCAAGUGAUGAUUAUUGGAGGUAGAGCACUGUUUGGACGAGGGGCCCCUCUCGGGUUACCGAAUUCAGACAAACUCCGAAUGCCAAUUAAUUUAACUUGGGAGUCAGAACAUGGGUGAUAAGGUCCGUGUUCGAAAGGGAAACAGCCCAGACCACCAGCUAAGGUCCCAAAAUAUAUGUUAAGUGGAAAAGGAUGUGGCGUUGCCCAGACAACUAGGAUGUUGGCUUAGAAGCAGCCAUCAUUUAAAGAGUGCGUAAUAGCUCACUAGUCGAGUGACACUGCGCCGAAAAUGUACCGGGGCUAAACAUAUUACCGAAGCUGUGGAUUGUCCUUUGGACAAUGGUAGGAGAGCGUUCUAAGGGCGUUGAAGCAUGAUCGUAAGGACAUGUGGAGCGCUUAGAAGUGAGAAUGCCGGUGUGAGUAGCGAAAGACGGGUGAGAAUCCCGUCCACCGAUUGACUAAGGUUUCCAGAGGAAGGCUCGUCCGCUCUGGGUUAGUCGGGUCCUAAGCUGAGGCCGACAGGCGUAGGCGAUGGAUAACAGGUUGAUAUUCCUGUACCACCUAUAAUCGUUUUAAUCGAUGGGGGGACGCAGUAGGAUAGGCGAAGCGUGCGAUUGGAUUGCACGUCUAAGCAGUAAGGCUGAGUAUUAGGCAAAUCCGGUACUCGUUAAGGCUGAGCUGUGAUGGGGAGAAGACAUUGUGUCUUCGAGUCGUUGAUUUCACACUGCCGAGAAAAGCCUCUAGAUAGAAAAUAGGUGCCCGUACCGCAAACCGACACAGGUAGUCAAGAUGAGAAUUCUAAGGUGAGCGAGCGAACUCUCGUUAAGGAACUCGGCAAAAUGACCCCGUAACUUCGGGAGAAGGGGUGCUCUUUAGGGUUAACGCCCAGAAGAGCCGCAGUGAAUAGGCCCAAGCGACUGUUUAUCAAAAACACAGGUCUCUGCUAAACCGUAAGGUGAUGUAUAGGGGCUGACGCCUGCCCGGUGCUGGAAGGUUAAGAGGAGUGGUUAGCUUCUGCGAAGCUACGAAUCGAAGCCCCAGUAAACGGCGGCCGUAACUAUAACGGUCCUAAGGUAGCGAAAUUCCUUGUCGGGUAAGUUCCGACCCGCACGAAAGGCGUAACGAUUUGGGCACUGUCUCAACGAGAGACUCGGUGAAAUCAUAGUACCUGUGAAGAUGCAGGUUACCCGCGACAGGACGGAAAGACCCCGUGGAGCUUUACUGUAGCCUGAUAUUGAAAUUCGGCACAGCUUGUACAGGAUAGGUAGGAGCCUUUGAAACGUGAGCGCUAGCUUACGUGGAGGCGCUGGUGGGAUACUACCCUAGCUGUGUUGGCUUUCUAACCCGCACCACUUAUCGUGGUGGGAGACAGUGUCAGGCGGGCAGUUUGACUGGGGCGGUCGCCUCCUAAAAGGUAACGGAGGCGCUCAAAGGUUCCCUCAGAAUGGUUGGAAAUCAUUCAUAGAGUGUAAAGGCAUAAGGGAGCUUGACUGCGAGACCUACAAGUCGAGCAGGGUCGAAAGACGGACUUAGUGAUCCGGUGGUUCCGCAUGGAAGGGCCAUCGCUCAACGGAUAAAAGCUACCCCGGGGAUAACAGGCUUAUCUCCCCCAAGAGUUCACAUCGACGGGGAGGUUUGGCACCUCGAUGUCGGCUCAUCGCAUCCUGGGGCUGUAGUCGGUCCCAAGGGUUGGGCUGUUCGCCCAUUAAAGCGGUACGCGAGCUGGGUUCAGAACGUCGUGAGACAGUUCGGUCCCUAUCCGUCGUGGGCGUAGGAAAUUUGAGAGGAGCUGUCCUUAGUACGAGAGGACCGGGAUGGACAUACCUCUGGUGUACCAGUUGUCGUGCCAACGGCAUAGCUGGGUAGCUAUGUGUGGACGGGAUAAGUGCUGAAAGCAUCUAAGCAUGAAGCCCCCCUCAAGAUGAGAUUUCCCAACUUCGGUUAUAAGAUCCCUCAAAGAUGAUGAGGUUAAUAGGUUCGAGGUGGAAGCAUGGUGACAUGUGGAGCUGACGAAUACUAAUCGAUCGAAGACUUAAUC